rnacentral:rRNA from 1 species
UACGGAGGGGGCUAGCGUUGUUCGGAAUUACUGGGCGUAAAGCGCACGUAGGCGGCUUUGUAAGUUAGAGGUGAAAGCCCGGAGCUCAACUCCGGAAUUGCCUUUAAGACUGCAUCGCUCGAAUCAUGGAGAGGUGAGUGGAAUUCCGAGUGUAGAGGUGAAAUUCGUAGAUAUUCGGAAGAACACCUAUGGCGAAGGCAGCACUCUGGGACGGUACUGACGCUGAGACGCGAAAGCGUGGGGAGCGAACAGG